AAAAGCUCAAGCCCCAAAUUGCAAUCCACCAGCCAUGGCCGCCGUGAUCAUGGCUUCCUCCAAACCCAUCAUUCCACUCUCUUCUUCUCUCCCCACCACCACAAGACCCAGACUUCAAAUCCCCCAACUCUCCCUCCCUAUUAAAAUCCUCCCUAAAAUCACUAAAACCCAACUCGCACGCCUCUCCUCUUCCACCCUCAAAUCCCUCUCCCUCCUUGCAGCCACCUCCUUCACCUUCGCACCGCCCUCUCUCGCCGAAGAAAUAGAGAAAGCUGCUCUCUUUGACUUCGACUUGACUCUCCCAAUCAUGAUGGUCCAGUUCUUGAUCCUCAUGGUAACACUCGACAAGCUCUACUUCUCUCCUCUUGGUAAAU
rnacentral:lncRNA from 1 species